UACGAAGGGGGCUAGCGUUGCUCGGAAUCACUGGGCGUAAAGCGCACGUAGGCGGCUUCUUAAGUCAGGGGUGAAAUCCUGGAGCUCAACUCCAGAACUGCCUUUGAUACUGAGAAGCUUGAGUCCGGGAGAGGUGAGUGGAACUGCGAGUGUAGAGGUGAAAUUCGUAGAUAUUCGCAAGAACACCAGUGGCGAAGGCGGUGCUCUGGGCCGGAACUGACGCUGAGGAGCGAAAGCGUGGGGAGCAAACAGG
rnacentral:rRNA from 1 species